rnacentral:rRNA from 1 species
AACGAACGCUGGCGGCAGGCUUAACACAUGCAAGUCGAACGCCCCGCAAGGGGAGUGGCAGACGGGUGAGUAACGCGUGGGAACAUACCCUUUCCUGCGGAAUAGCUCCGGGAAACUGGAAUUAAUACCGCAUACGCCCUACGGGGGAAAGAUUUAUCGGGGAAGGAUUGGCCCGCGUUGGAUUAGCUAGUUGGUGGGGUAAAGGCCUACCAAGGCGACGAUCCAUAACUGGUCUGAGAGGAUGAUCAGCCACAUUGGGACUGAGACACGGCCCAAACUCCUACGGGAGGCAGCAGUGGGGAAUAUUGGACAAUGGGCGCAAGCCUGAUCCAGCCAUGCCGCGUGAGUGAUGAAGGCCUUAGGGUUGUAAAGCUCUUUCACCGAUGAAGAUAAUGACGGUAACCUGAGAAGAAGCCCCGGCUAACUUCGUGCCAGCAGCCGCGGUAACAC